AGGAACGUACCCUUCGUGUGCCCUCGUUAAAGCUUCGAGCCUUUUUGUUGUGUCCCGCCUGCGGCUCUCCACAGUCCUUUUAAAACGCGUAGCGGAAGUCGUUUCAGUAUGUGCAGAUGACACCAAAGUGAUGACAUUAAGCUGAUGUACUUGAGAGGAACCUGGACGGGCUGGAGGAACGGGCCAUCAGGAACUUCACGAAAUUGAGUGAGGACAAAUGCAAAUCCUUCCAUCUAGGAGUGACCACCCUCUGGGACAAUAGUGGAUGGGGGCUUUACUGACUGUCCCUGCUGGAAAGGAUGGGGGGUCCUGGUGGACAGUGGUUAAACAGGAGUCAAGAGUGCACCAUGAAGGCUAAGAGCACUGUACCAAGGGGAACACAGACAGUGGAUUAUUGGGAAGUGAUUAUUUCCCUUUACAUGGCUUUUGUUUGCCUGCACAUGGAAUAUGAUGCCCAGUUUGGGAGUAGAACAACCCUGAUAUGGAAAAUUACUGAUAAACUGGAGUGAGUUCAGCCAAGAGCACCAAGACAGUCAUGGGCUGGAGCACUUACUGUGUGAGAGGCUCUGGGCACCAGGGCUUCUUCAGCUGGGCGAAGGGCCAGCCUGACUACCAACAAGGAGGUUACUGAGAAGACAGAGCAGCGAUUUUUACCAACAGAAGGACAAAAAAUGUCACCCUAAGGAUAGUCAGAUGGAGAGAGGCUGUGGAAUCUCCCUCCACAGAGGUUUUAAAGACCUGAGUAGACAAAGCCUCAAACAACCUGAAUGUAAUAGUAGCCCUGCUUUGAGCAGGAUAUUAAACUAGAUAACAUCCAGAGACGCCUUCCAACCUCCAUAUUUCUGUGAUUCUGUUUGCUGAAAUAAGACAAAAUAAUAAAAUAAUAUUCACUAUCAGGGUUUAUUUCCCCUCAGGUAGGGCUCUUUUCAAUAGCAAAAGUAGGCAGGAGUUCAUAGGCUGAAUUUUCACGGCCUGUUAAAACUCUUGAGAACUGAUUCUCUGGCUUCUUUGGGAGCAUAAAACAAUCAAGCUGAUAGUUACUGUAGGUGGUCCUGAGUCUGGCAAACAGAUGUUUCAUUGAAUGCAAGCACGACACUCCUAUACAUUGCCUGGAUCCAAAGUACUGAUUUAUGUUUGCUACUAAUUUGUACUCCUCAGAAUCUAGGAUGCCUUGUUAGAUCAAGCGUAUCACUAGUCUGAUCAACUUUAUAGUAAAAUACACUUAAUUGAAAAAAAAAAAAAAAAAACACAAACAAAAAAACAAACCAAACCAAAGCCAUACAAAACUAUUUGUAGAACCAGCACUUUACUUACCUGCUUUACGCAAAUUGCAUUCUUACAUGCUGCCAGUAUUCAGGUAACUCAUCUGCUCAUUAACAACUGCAAGGUUUCUGGAAAAUACUGAAACUGUGCAAAUAUGAUAGUUUGUUUUCUGUACACACAGAAAAGAAAAAAACCCCACCACAUUCUUCUCUUGCCUUCAGCUUUCCCUGGUCUAAGCAAAAGUGGAGGAUGUAUUGCACUUAGCAGAACUGGCCCUUCUUCACUCAGUACCAAGCUGGGAACACCUUAGUCACACCGCUAAAGAAUGUCCCUUUGGGAAUAUGGAAAACUUUUAGCAGGUAGCUACUCUUACAUGAAAAAUGAUCAGAAAAACAAAAGCACGUUCAAAUUUGGCAAAUUAGCACAUGGAACAAGUGGACAUUCUAAUGUCAUGGGGAUGUAAUUGAGUGUUGUAGGUUAUCCACUUAUGAAAAACAAAGAUGAAAAAGCAAAUACAUUAAAGAAAGACAUUUCUGUUUU